CCUACGGGGGGCUGCAGUGAGGAAUAUUGGUCAAUGGGCGAAAGCCUGAACCAGCCAAGUCGCGUGAGGGAGUACUGCCCUAUGGGUUGUAAACCUCUUUUGCCGGGGAGCAAAAGCCGGACGUGUCCGGCUGUGAGAGUACCCGAAGAAAAAGCAUCGGCCAACUCCGUGCCAGCAGCCGCGGUCAUACGGAGGAUGCGAGCGUGAUCCGGAUUUAUUGGGUUUGAAGGGUGCGCAGGCGGAUUUUUAAGUCAGCGGUAAAAGCGCGGGGCUCAACCCCAUCCAGCCGUUGAAACUGGGGAUCUAGAGUGUGCGAGAGGUAUGCGGAAUGCGUGGUGUAGCGGUGAAAUGCAUAGAUAUCACGCAGAACCCCGAUUGCGAAGGCAGCAUACCGGUGCACAACUGACGCUGAGGCACGAAAGCGUGGGUAUCGAACAGGAUUAGAUACCCUUGUAGUC
rnacentral:rRNA from 1 species